UUAUUUUUAUUUUAAAUAUAGUUAGGUUCAAUUUUAGAAUAAGUUUAAGUAUCCGAAUGUGGAGAGGUGUCCGAGUGGUUUAAGGAGCUGGUCUUGAAAACCAGUGACUUCGAAAGGGGCCGUGGGUUCGAAUCCCACCCUCUCCGCCAAAUGCCCAGAUAGCUCAGUCGGUAGAGCAGGGGACUGAAAAUCCCCGUGUCGGUGGUUCGAUUCCGCCUCUGGGCACCAAAAUAUGGCGGUAUAGCUUAGUUGGCUAGAGCGUUCGGUUCAUACCCGAAAGGUCAUAGGUUCGACUCCUAUUACCGCUACUAAAAUUUAAUGUGGGCCAUUAGCUCAGUUGGUUAGAGCGCCCGGCUCAUAACCGGUAGGUCUGGGGUUCGAGUCCCUGAUGGCCCACCACAUUAAAUUAAUUAAUAUAAAUUCGAGGUGUAGCGCAGUUUGGUAGCGCACAUGGUUUGGGACCAUGGGGCCGGGGGUUCGAGUCCCUUCACCUCGACCAAUAUAAGGUGGGUAUAGCUCAGUUGGUUAGAGCGCCAGAUUGUGGCUCUGGAGGUCGUGAGUUCGACUCUCAUUAUCCACCCCAAUUCAUAUGGUCUAUUAGCUCAGUCGGUAGAGCACCUGACUUUUAAUCAGGGUGUCCCGCGUUCGAGUCGCGGAUAGAUCACCAAAAAGGUGGCGACAUAGCCAAGUGGUAAGGCAGUGGACUGCAACUCCUUGAUCCCCAGUUCGAAUCUGGGUGUCGCCUCCAAAAUAUUCCAAGGUAGCUCAACGGUGGAGCAACCGGCUGUUAACCGGUAGGCUGUGGGUUCGAGCCCCACCCUUGGAGCCAAAAAAGCCGAAGUGGCGGANNNNNNNNNGCUCAAAGGUUCUCUCAGUACGGUCGGAAAUCGUACGUAGAGUGUAAAGGCAAAAGAGAGCUUGAUUGCAAGACAUACAGGUCGAGCAAGGAUGAAAAUCGGACUUAGUGAUCCGGUGGUUCUGCGUGGAAGGGCCAUCGCUCAACGGAUAAAAGCUACCCUGGGGAUAACAGGCUUAUCUCCCCCAAGAGUCCACAUCGACGGGGAGGUUUGGCACCUCGAUGUCGGCUCAUCACAUCCUGGGGCUGUAGUAGGUCCCAAGGGUUGGGCUGUUCGCCCAUUAAAGUGGUACGCGAGCUGGGUUCAGAACGUCGUGAGACAGUUCGGUCCCUAUCCGUCGCAGGCGUAGGAAAUUUGAGAAGACCUGUCCUUAGUACGAGAGGACCGGGAUGGACGUACCUCUGGUGUACCAGUUGUCCUGCCAAGGGCAUGGCUGGGUAGCUAUGUACGGAAUGGAUAAGCGCUGAAAGCAUCUAAGCGCGAAGCCAACUUCAAGAUAAGAUUUCCCACCGCAAGGGUAAGACCCCAGAAAGACUAUCUGGUUGAUAGGUCGAAGGUGUAAGUGCAGCAAUGUAUUUAGCUUAUCGAUACUAAUAGGUCGAGGACUUGACCAA
rnacentral:rRNA from 1 species